AUAAUUGAUUAAUGAUUAAUUAAUCUCCUAAUUAAUUUAUAAAUUAACAUUUAUGAUUAUCUAAUAAUAUUCAUGAUAAAUUAGUUAAUUAAUUUAUUAAAUAUCAUUUACUUAAUAUUUUGAUGUUAAUUAAUUAUAUACAAUAUUAUUAUUUAACUACUAUAAUUACUUUUAUUCCUAUUAUUCCUAUCUAACUACCGAAACACUAUUUUUCUUAUUCUAAAAAAUAACCCACUUUUCAUCCAAACGUAAAAUUGAUUUUAUUCCUGUUUAUCCCCGAAGUUGUACCUCUCCCAGAAAUAACCAAAAAAAAAAUAUUUUCGAACCAAACGAUACCUUAAAGUAUAGAAAAGGGAUAAGAUCUAAUAUACCCUCUAAAACUUGAAAAACAUCUAAUAUGUCCUUGGUUGACCAAAAAGCCCUUAUUGAUUUCCACAAAUCCCUUCAAAUAUCCCCAAAUCCCUAGGCCAUGUUUGGCUCAAGGGAUAAAGGGAGAAUAAGGGAUUUAUUCUUUUGUUGUAGUUUGGAUCUUUUGUUGUUGUUUGGAGCAGAAACUUUAAUUUGGAGCUUUUGUUUCCUCUACAAAGGGAAAUUUCUGAGAUUUUAACAGAAAAGAAGUUAAUGUAUAGUUUCUAGGAUAUGUGGAGUCUAAAAAUAUAUGGAAAUUGAUACUAAACGCUUUAACUUGUCAAGUAUGGAUUAGAACUUGUUCUCAGGGUGUUAGUAGUGCGUUGAUCAGUUUUCUUAUCUUUUUAAUCGUUGUAUUUCUUGUUUUUUAUUUUAGAUUUGGUUUCCUUUUAUAUAUUAUUAUCUUUGUUACAAAGCACGAUAAAUUUAUUUUAGUUGUUAUUUUUGACUAAAUACACUACGUAUUGAGUAAUUUGUACUUGUUUCUUGUUUUUAUAUACUUUCAUUAUUCUUGUAGUAGUCUCUAGGUACUUAGACUAUCUUGGUUGUGUGUUAUUGAAGAUAGUUAAUGAAAAUUAUCUAUAUGACGUAAACUUAGUUUAUACACUUUUUAAUUAGGGAUUGCGUAUUUAGGGGGUGAGAUUAUGAAAAAUAAAAUGUUAUAUAUAUAAAAAGAUGUGGAAAGAGUUACAUCCCAAAGGGAGUGUGAAAACUACCACCACAUGUAGGAAAGAGCUACCACCCCGGUCGUCCGGUAAGUGUGUGAAGCUACCACAUGUUUUUGAUGCAUCUAAAGUAAAAAAAAAUCUGGUGAUAUAAGGUCGGAUACAUGGAAAAAAAUAUUAUAUAUAUAAAAAGAUGUGGAAAGAGUUACAUCCCAAAGGGAGUGUGAAAACUACCACCACAUGUAGGAAAGAGCUACCACCCCGGUCGUCCGGUAAGUGUGUGAAGCUACCACAUGUUUUUGAUGCAUCUAAAGUAAAAAAAAAUCUGGUGAUAUAAGGUCGGAUACAUGGAAAAAAAUAUUAUAUGUAUAAAAAGAUGUGGAAAGAGUUACAUCCCAAAGGGAGUGUGAAAACUACCACCACAUGGAGGAAAGAGCUACCACCCCGGCCGUCCGGUAAGUGUGUGAAGCUACCACAUGUUUUUGAUGCAUCUUAAAAAAAAAUGAUAUCUGGUGAUAAGGUUGGAUAUGGAUAAAAGAUGCUCAAAGAGCCACCCCUGGUACUUAAAUUAUGCAAUCUUCUAAUUUCAGAGUUUAUUGAUUAAAUUUAUGUCAUAUAGCGAUCUUCAUUAUCUAACUUCAUGAUCCAUUACAUCUUGAUAGUUUUUGUACCUAUGGAUUGCUUUUUGAUGAUGUGAGUAUGAUAAAUGUAGGUUUUAAGUAUUCUUAUAAAUUCAAUUUUGACGCUUGAUUUAUUUGGAUUAAAAUUUAUAAUUUUUAUGAAAUUGGAAUGAUUUUGAAGCAUCUUUUGUGAAUAUACGGUGUUUAGUAAUCCCUUCAAAUACCCAUCUAUACCCCAAAUUCCAUUAGUAAUCCCUAGGGUUUUGGGGGAAUUUGAAGGGAUUUGUGAAAAUCAACUAGGGCAUUUUGGUCAACCAGGGGUAUAUUAGAUAUGUUUGAUGUUUUAGAAGGUAUAUUAGAUAAUAUCCCUCUUCUCUACUUUAAAUUCAUUCGUGUUAAACCCAUUUCAAAUAUUAAAUUUCACACAUACACCUACUUGGAAAUUAUAUUCAAAAUUCCAUGAAUAGAAAUACUAAUCCUAACCGGAGAAGCUAUUAGGCAAUUUUGUGGAAAAAGCUAGUCCUUAUGACUUCUGAGGAUAUGCGAACAAUAAAAAUGUCGAUUGGGAUACACUUUAUAGGUGAAAUGUCAAUACUGCCAAUCAUAGAAAGAUUGUUAUUGUUAGUCUUUUUUUUGUGGAUGCUUCAUACGAAGUUAGUUUGAGUUGUACACUGCAAGGUUGGGUGCUCCUUUGCUGAUUUUGAUGCAGGUGAACAAGUUUUUCAGAUUUGCAGUUGUGGAUGGAGUGUCGUUUGUGUGAAAGGAAUAGAUAAUUGUAGUGUUGAUUGAGGACAGCUAGUAUUGAACAAAUCACGCCGUAUAAUG
rnacentral:lncRNA from 1 species